rnacentral:rRNA from 1 species
AUAACAGCUGGAAACGGCUGCUAAUACCGCAUAAGCGCACGAGGAGACAUCUCCUUGUGUGAAAAACUCCGGUGGUACAGGAUGGGCCCGCGUCUGAUUAGCUGGUUGGCAGGGUAACGGCCUACCAAGGCAACGAUCAGUAGCCGGUCUGAGAGGAUGAACGGCCACAUUGGAACUGAGACACGGUCCAAACUCCUACGGGAGGCAGCAGUGGGGAAUAUUGCACAAUGGGGGAAACCCUGAUGCAGCAACGCCGCGUGAGUGAAGAAGUAUUUCGGUAUGUAAAGCUCUAUCAGCAGGGAAGAUAAUGACGGUACCUGACUAAGAAGCUCCGGCUAAAUACGUGCCAGCAGCCGCGGUAAUACGUAUGGAGCAAGCGUUAUCCGGAUUUACUGGGUGUAAAGGGUGCGUAGGUGGCAGUGCAAGUCAGAUGUGAAAGGCCGGGGCUCAACCCCGGAGCUGCAUUUGAAACUGCUCGGCUAGAGUACAGGAGAGGCAGGCGGAAUUCCUAGUGUAGCGGUGAAAUGCGUAGAUAUUAGGAGGAACACCAGUGGCGAAGGCGGCCUGCUGGACUGUUACUGACACUGAGGCACGAAAGCGUGGGGAGCAAACAGGAUUAGAUACCCUGGUAGUCCACGCCGUAAAC